rnacentral:rRNA from 1 species
GACGAACGCUGGCGGCGUGCUUAACACAUGCAAGUCGAACGCUGAAGACCUGGCUUUUGUUGGGUUGGAUGAGUGGCGAACGGGUGAGUAACACGUGAGUAACCUGCCCUCUUCUUUGGGAUAACGCCCAGAAACGGGUGCUAAUACUGGAUAUUCACUGAUCUUCGCAUGGGGGUUGGUGGAAAGGUUUGUUCUGGUGGGGGAUGGGCUCGCAGCCUAUCAGCUUGUUGGUGGGGUGAUGGCCUACCAAGGCUUUGACGGGUAGCCGGCCUGAGAGGGUGACCGGUUACAUUGGGACUGAGAUACGGCCCAGACUCCUACGGGAGGCAGCAGUGGGGAAUAUUGCACAAUGGGCGAAAGCCUGAUGCAGCGACGCCGCGUGAGGGAUGGAGGCCUUCGGGUUGGAAACCUCUUUCGCUCAUGGUCAAGCCGCAACUGUGGGUUGUGGUGAGGGUAGUGGGUAAAGAAGCGCCGGCUAACUACGUG